rnacentral:rRNA from 1 species
UGAGGAAUAUUGGUCAAUGGACGAGAGUCUGAACCAGCCAAGUAGCCUGCAGGAUGACGGCCCUAUGGGUUGUAAACUGCUUUUGUUUGGGAAUAAUCGACAUUACGUGUAAUGUUUUGCAUGUACCAUUCGAAUAAGGACCGGCUAAUUCCGUGCCAGCAGCCGCGGUAAUACGGAAGGUCCAGGCGUUAUCCGGAUUUAUUGGGUUUAAAGGGAGUGUAGGCGGUUGGUUAAGCGUGUUGUGAAAUGUAGAUGCUCAACAUCUGACUUGCAGCGCGAACUGGCUGACUUGAGUACACACAACGUAGGCGGAAUUCAUGGUGUAGCGGUGAAAUGCUUAGAUAUCAUGAAGAACUCCGAUUGCGAAGGCAGCUUACGGGAGUGUUACUGACGCUUAAGCUCGAAGGUGCGGGUAUCGAACAGG